rnacentral:tRNA from 1 species
GCCGCCAUAGCUCAGUGGUUAGAGCACUGGUCUCGUAAAACCAGGGGUCGUGAGUUCGAAUUUCACUGGCUGCU